rnacentral:rRNA from 1 species
UUAGGUGACUAUUGCGAUGAGGAACCACCUCUUACCAUUCCGAACAGAGAAGUUAAGCUCAUCAGCGCUGAUGGUACUGCAUUUGUGGGAGAGUAAGUCGUUGCCUAUC